rnacentral:snoRNA from 14 species
CUAAAGUAGUUACCUUCAGAGGAGACAUACCCCCAGACUCUGACAUAGUGGUGCAGCGGAGCAGAGACACUGGCCCAGUGACGUUUCUCCCCUUUCCACAAUAUUAGAGGUGAAGCUGGGCUUCGUGACUCUAUCUGCAAUAUUUCCACAACU